ACGGGAGGCAGCAGUCGGGAAUAUUGCGCAAUGGAGGAAACUCUGACGCAGUGACGCCGCGUAUAGGAAGAAGGUUUUCGGAUUGUAAACUAUUGUCAUUAGGGAAGAUAAAAGACUGUACCUAAAGAGGAAGCUCCGGCUAACUACGUGCCAGCAGCCGCGGUAAUACGUAGGGAGCAAGCGUUAUCCGGAUUUAUUGGGUGUAAAGGGUGCGUAGACGGGAAAACAAGUUAGUUGUGAAAUCCCUCGGCUUAACUGAGGAACUGCAACUAAAACUAUUUUUCUUGAGUGUCGGAGAGGAAAGUGGAAUUCCUAGUGUAGCGGUGAAAUGCGUAGAUAUUAGGAGGAACACCGGUGGCGAAGGCGACUUUCUGGACGAUAACUGACGUUGAGGCACGAAAGUGUGGGGAGCAAACAGGAUUAGAUACCCUGGUA
rnacentral:rRNA from 1 species